rnacentral:tRNA from 1 species
GCCGAGGUGGUGGAAUUGGUAGACACGCUGUCUUGAGGGGGCAGUGAGCUAUGCUCGUGCGGGUUCGAUUCCCGCUCUCGGCACCA